rnacentral:rRNA from 1 species
GUCCACGCUGUAAACGUUGGGCGCUAGGUGUGGGGUCUUCCACGAUCUCCGUGCCGGAGCUAACGCAUUAAGCGCCCCGCCUGGGGAGUACGGCCGCAAGGCUAAAACUCAAAGGAAUUGACGGGGGCCCGCACAAGCGGCGGAGCAUGUUGCUUAAUUCGACGCAACGCGAAGAACCUUACCAAGGUUUGACAUCACCCGGAAAGCUUCAGAGAUGGGGCCCUCUUCGGAUCGGGUGACAGGUGGUGCAUGGCUGUCGU